rnacentral:rRNA from 1 species
UACGUAGGAUGCAAGCGUUGUCCGGAUUUACUGGGCGUAAAGCGCGCGCAGGCGGCACUCUAAGUACGAUGUGAAAUCCCCGGGCUUAACCUGGGAACUGCAUUUGUGACUGGCGGGCUAGAGUAUGGCAGAGGGGGGGUAGAAUUCCACGUGUAGCAGUGAAAUGCGUAGAGAUGUGGAGGAAUACCGAUGGCGAAGGCAGCCCCCUGGGCCAAUACUGACGCUCAUGCACGAAAGCGUGGGGAGCAAACAGG